UAAUAGUACUCACCUCAGAAGGCUGUUGUGAGAAUUAAAUAAUUCCUGUAAAGCAGGUAGCAGAGUGCUUGGCACAUAGCAUCCAGGAAAAACUGAGCGAGUUCUUGUGAAACUGAAGUACACUGAAGGUGUUUGCUAUUUAAAGGUAUCUUCUGGUGGAUCGUCUUGGAAAACAUGGACCCAAAUCUUGCGAGAGCUAUCAGUGAGUCUCCUCUCCUGCUCUGCAUCUCUCAGGACUGUGUCCCAGCUCCAGAAGAAUGAGCCUGCACAGCUUGGACUGUCACCUCUGGCAGGUUCCUGCUCUUUGAUGAAGCCUCGUCAUAAUUACAGCUGUGCCAAAAUAUGUGCUUUGCCUCCUGGCUGAGUGACAGUGGCCAUCCGAAGGCAGUGACUUUCCAGGGCACAAGGACCUCCAAAGGCAAGUGUUUGAGCUCAGCCCUUCUCGGUGGCCCACAGGAAUCGCUUCCCAUUGGAACACUGCCACCAAGGCUCUGGAGCUGAGUUUGUGACAUGGAGACAUUCAUGGCAUUUUUCCUGUCCCUCAAGGGUCAGGCAGAUCUGGUGCUUUCCCCCUCCUGGAAAUGGAUAGAGCUGGCUGAAAGCUUCUUGGGAUGAAAUUUGUCUUUUGUGCCUCAGGUGAAAUCUGACUGAUUUUGAAUGGUGUGCCCAUUUCUGGGCUUCCCACCCUCCAGAUCCCCUGGGGCCAGAUUCCUAGCACCCCAGGAAGCUGUUGGGGGAUCUGG
rnacentral:lncRNA from 1 species